rnacentral:rRNA from 1 species
GACGAACGCUGGCGGCGUGCCUAACACAUGCAAGUCGAACGAGGUCCAAGGGAGCUUGCUCCCUGAAGACCUAGUGGCGAACGGGUGAGUAACACGUGAGAAACCUGCCCUCGAGUGGGGAAUAACCCGGGGAAACCCGGGCUAAUACCGCAUACGCUCCUCUGGUCGCAUGGCCGGAGGAGGAAAGUUUUUCGCUCAGGGAGGGUCUCGCGGCCUAUCAGCUUGUUGGCGGGGUAACGGCCCACCAAGGCUACGACGGGUAGCUGGUUUGGGAGAACGAUCAGCCACACUGGGGCUGAGACACGGCUCAGGCUCCUACGGGAGGCAGCAGAGGGGAAUCUUGCGCAAUGGGCGAAAGCCUGACGCAGCAACGCCGCGUGCGGGAUGACGGCCUUCGUGGUUGUAAACCGCUUUCGGCAGGGACGAAAAUGACGGUACCUGCAGAAGAAGCUCCGGCUAACUACGUGCCAGCCGCCGCAGUAA